UUUCUCUUCUUCUCUCGUUCUCUUCCCUAAUUCUCUGCUCCUCUUUCCUUCUCUUCUUUGCCAGAAAAAGAAGUUCUCUCGUAUUCAACUAAAAAAACAUUGAAACCUAAAAUCUAUACCUUUGUUUCCUUGUUGAUUUUUGAGAAAAAACUUAUUAGGGUUUAGAUUAUCAGGGCUCAGACAAUUCUUUUUCCCAUUUCAAUUUCAGACUCCAAACCUCAGCUAAGGCUUUGGUUAAACUGAUUUAGUGAGCUUUUUGUACAGAUCGAGUAUUCAUAUCAUUCUGGUGGACUAGUGGAUCUAGCGGGUUCAGAUCUUAUGUGUACAGGUAUGAAAAAGUUCAUCCAUCAACCAAAAUCUCAGAAAAGUAAUAGCGGGAUUACAAAUUAUCUGGUCGAGGGGAAAUGAGAGAGUUAUAUAGCCUUCUUGUUUCAUCUUUUGUUUUUCUGAGUUUCUUUAAAUGAAGAUAUACAAUUUCCAGUAGCAUCACUUACUCAUGAAUGCUACAUAACUUUUCAAACUGCGAAGUAUUUUAAUAAUGAGGAAUUUAAAGAUGAGAAGUACGAUGAGUUCAUAAAAAAAUAUGAGGAUGCGUCUUUAAAAACUAGCGGUAGUCUUGCUUUUUUGAACUUCGGUCAAAACGUGAUAUUUAGCACGGCUCUUUCAAUGGCCAUGGUAUUGUGUUCAGAUGGAAUUAUGAGGGGGGAGAUGACAGUUGGUGAUUUGGUUAUGGUAAAUGGGAUUCUUUUCCAGCUAUCUCUUCCUCUCAAUUUUCUUGGUGGUGUGUAUCGGGAGUCCAAGCAGGGUCUUGUUGAUAUGAAGUCCAUGUUUCAGUUACUAGAGGGCACGCGCUAUUGAUUCAGUGAGCGAGAUCUUUGACAUUGUUAAUAAUCCCGGAGCAAGCACCUCGUGAUUCUGUGUGAAAGGAUGUCCUACUCGGAUAAGUUGGUUUAUGGGAACCAUAUCAGCUGCCUAAGUUGUUGAUACAAUGUGUCGAAGUUGAACUACAGAACACUUAUACAUGCUUUAACUUCUAUUUGUUCAGCAUAAGGACCAAAUAAUGAGGUUCAAGCACCUUUAAUUUGCUUUUCUAAUAAGAGGUUUUGUUGCAUCUCAUUUCCUCACAGGCAUACCGGUGGAUCAUGUUUUGGUCGCAGUUAGAGGGACGACUCUGUUCACGGGAGCUGCUGGGAUGAUUUAAUUAUUGUGUUGCUUUUCAUUGUUCUACUCUGACUUUUUAUAUCUAGCUUUUCUUCUUACACUGAUUAACAUCCUUAACUAAUUAUGUCUUAUAAUUUAAUGACUUUUAACAGUGUAAACAAGAUUUGCUUUUCCUGACUUAUUGCGAAGUUUGACACUCUUUUUAGUCGA